rnacentral:misc_RNA from 1 species
AUUUUUUUUGACAGAAACACUAUAAAAAAAGUUAUUAAUAAUGGACGACAAAAAUAUGAUGAAUAUUGAUACGGUGAUGGAAGAUAUGCAGAACUUUUUAAACGGUUCUGCAAAUACAGUAAAAAGUACCGAAAUCGCAAAAGAAGUGCGGCUGGUGGAGAUUGGCCCAAAUAAUCCAGCUUAUUGGGCGGAAAUAUUCAGAAAGCAAGCCAACAAUUUGCCAGAACCUCCUCAGUAUAAUCGCGAAAUAAGGGAUAAUGAACAAAAUAAAAGCAAUAGGAAAGCCGAAGCAGAAAAAGAAGACGAAGAAAAAGAAAGACAAAUCUGGAUAAGGCAGAGGAGAGAAGAAGGAAGAAUGAGAGAGCAGAGAAUCAGAGAGGAAAGAAUGAGAGAGAAAAGAAUUAGAGAGCAGAGAAUAAGAAGAGAAAUGGAAGUGACUCCGAGAGUGGAAGAAGAUACGGGGAGGAAUAGGGGAAGAAUGAAUAGAAGUAGGAGUAAAAGUAGAGACACAUACAGCAGAAGGCGACAUGAAAGACAAGAAGAAAGAAGAGAAAGGGAUAGAACUAGAAGUAGGGAUAGUUAUGAAAGUAGGAGGGGAGAUAGAGGGGAAGAAGUUCAUAACAGAGGAAGGAUACGUGGACGCGGCAGAGGAAGGGACGAGAGGAUGGGGAACGGUGGUCGAUAUGUCCAUCCUCAUCGUGGUCGCGGACGUGGGCGUCGGGAAAUUGCAAACACCCAGACAUCAAGACGACAGCCACAGCAAGUUGGGUCUGGUGUUGUUGGGUGUUUGCAAUUUAACAACAUUGCGUCUAUGGUUGAGUUUACAAAACAAUUUUUCAAUAAAUAAUUUUUUCCUUAAAUCUGUACUUCUUAAUACUUAAUAUAUGUAUUGUUUAAGUUUUGUUUAUCAUUUCUUCAAAAAAAAAAUCAACGAGUGCAAAAUAGAUGACAAUUAUUAAUUAAACACAAAAAGUGGUGUCUUAUAAGGGCCUAGAAUUCCUUCAGCUAUUCUAUGAUUGAUAUGGGUAAAAUAAACCGUUUAAAUAAAAUAAGCGUCACUUGCCUUAACAACCCCUGCAAUAAAAUUAAUCUUAUUCUACUAUACUUACCCUAUGUCGCCAAACCCUAAAUUGAAAAACAAAAACAGAACAGAACUAUAUGAAUUUUGCUGCCAAAUUAUUUAAUUAUAUAAUGUAUCGAACCGACCGUGCAAAAAUAAAUUUAGUGCGCCCAUAAGAUGCCAUGCUGAGAAGUCAGUCAAAUUCAGAUGUCAAUGUCAACCCAACAAAACAAUAACAUAAUUCACCUUGAGAAAUUAUUAUUAUUUUUUAACUAAUAUUUAUUAAAAACACAUAAUUUACAACUUCUUAAUUCGCAUACCUAUAUGUAUUUUAUCAGUUGGUUAGGUAUGAUUUGUUUUCAUCCUGGUCAACAAUUCAACAGCUAUGGGACCCAUUAGUUGUAAACCAGAAAGAAUUGCAUGUUUUAACUGCUGAUUAGUCUACCAUACAACUAGGAAUAAAUAAGCUAAAUAAAGUAUGUUAAGAUUCCUAAGAGAUCAUGAAAUGUGUUUGAUAGGGCUCAGACCAGGCACUUAAGGACAUCCAUCGAGAAAUCAUUGAGAUUCUACCAUAUUGAUGAAAUCGGGAAACCAGGAAAAACUGCCUGACUUUACUGUUGAUUAGACUACCCAGCCAGAAAUAAAUAAGAUUCAUAAAGUAUGUUAGGAUUCUCCAGAGAUCAUGAAAUGUGUUUGAAGGGAUAGGUGCAGUGAUAUGAGGAAGGAAACAAAAAUUAGAAGUAAACAGGAAUCUAAAUGUGACACAAAUUGUAAACUUUUUUGUUAUCUUGAAUAGGCAAAAAGGCACGAGAAUCUUUCAACUGGACCCAAAGUCUCUAUUUUUGGUUAGAUAAAACUUAUUUAAUGUUUAUGUUCCAUAACCUGUUUAUUGUUUUAUUAACUUUUGUCAUACAGUUAUUUAGUUUUAAUAAUUAAAGAGAAAAUUGAUCUAUA